GACGAACGCUGGCGGCGUGCCUAAUACAUGCAAGUCGAACGAACCGCGACUGAGUGCUUGCACUUGGUCAAGGUGAGUGGCGAACGGGUGAGUAACACGUGGGUAACCUACCUCAUAGUGGGGGAUAACAGUCGGAAACGACUGCUAAUACCGCAUAGGACAUGGAAUCACAUGAUUCUGUGAGGAAAGGUGGCGCAAGCUAUCGCUAAGAGAUGGACCCGCGGUGCAUUAGCUAGUUGGUAGGGUAAGGGCCUACCAAGGCGAUGAUGCAUAGCCGACCUGAGAGGGUGAUCGGCCACAUUGGGACUGAGACACGGCCCAAACUCCUACGGGAGGCAGCAGUAGGGAAUCUUCCGCAAUGGACGAAAGUCUGACGGAGCAACGCCGCGUGAGUGAAGAAGGUCUUCGGAUCGUAAAGCUCUGUUGUUAGAGAAGAACAGCGCAUAGAGUAACUGUUAUGCGUGUGACGGUAUCUAACCAGAAAGCCACGGCUAACUACGUG
rnacentral:rRNA from 1 species